GCUCUCCUAGUAUAUCCAUUACAAAAGACUUCCAAUCUUUAGAAUCUGGCACAGCCCCAGAGAAGAGCA
rnacentral:tRNA from 1 species